GGAUUGAUGAAGGGCUGGACCAAACCCUGUUUCUGCUCUGCUCCUGAAG
rnacentral:snoRNA from 1 species